rnacentral:lncRNA from 1 species
AGUGCUGGAUGUGAGCCCUCCCCAGCUGUGGCCUGAUAGAGAUGGUAAGCCCUACAAGAUUCCACAUUAAUUGCUUGACAGUGGCUUCACAGAUCUGCCUGGUGAAGGAAUCCCCCAGCAGCAGGGGAGCUGCGCCUUCGUCUCACUUCCAGCUGAUGGUAGAGCUCAACUGGUGGGAGUUUAUCAGCAAGUUCACAAUCUUGGGCUGCUGAGCCUACUCUGAAUUAUAUAGAAAACCUUGC